UAACGAAUCUUCCGCAAUGCACGAAAGUGUGACGGAGCGACGCCGCGUGUAGGACGAAGCCCUUCGGGGUGUAAACUACUGUCAGGGGAAAGAAAGUACUGAUCUACCCCAGAGGAAGGCACGGCUAACUCUGUGCCAGCAGCCGCGGUAAGACAGAGGGGCCGCGCGUUAGGCGGAAUCACUGGGCUUAAAGCGGGUGUAGGCGGAUGCCUAAGUACCUUGUGAAAUCCCACGGCUUAACCGUGGAAC
rnacentral:rRNA from 1 species